GGAGACGUAGGCAAGUGGUUAACGCCAGCGGCCUUAGAAGCCGCGCCCGAAGGGGCUGCGCAGGUCCGAAUCCUGCCGUCUCCA
rnacentral:tRNA from 1 species